GAUGAAGAACGCAGUGAAAUGCGAUAAGUAAUGUGAAUUGCAGAAUUCAGUGAAUCAUCGAAUCUUUGAACGCACAUUGCGCCCUUUGGUAUUCCUUAGGGCAUGCCUGUUCGAGCGUCAUUUAAACCUUCAAGCUCAGCUUGGUGUUGGGUGACUGUCCGCUUCACCGCGGACUCGCCUCAAAAUUAUUGGCGGCCGGUACAUUGGCUUCGAGCGCAGCAGAAACGCGAACUCGGGCCCGUCGUAUUGGCUCCCAGAAGCUAUCUUCACAAUUUUGACCUCGGAUCAGGUAGGGAUACCCGCUGAACUUAAGCAUAUCAAUAAGCGGAGGA
rnacentral:misc_RNA from 1 species